CUACGGGAGGCACCAGUGGGGAAUUUUGCGCAAUGGGGGAAACCCUGACGCAGCAAUACCGCGUGAGUGAAGAAGGCCUUUGGGUCGUAAAGCUCUUUUCUUGGGGAAGAUAGUGACGGUACCCAAGGAAUAAGCACCGGCUAACUCCGUGCCAGCAGCCGCGGUAAUACGGAGGGUGCAAGCGUUGUUCGGAUUUACUGGGCGUAAAGGGCACGUAGGCGGCACAGCAAGUUAAGGGUGAAAUACCGGGGCUCAACUCCGGAACUGCUCUUAAAACUGCUGAGCUAGAGAUAGUCAGAGGCGGGUGGAAUUCCAGGUGUAGAGGUGAAAUUCGUAGAUAUCUGGAGGAACACCGGUGGCGAAGGCGGCCCGCUGGGGCUAUUCUGACGCUAAGAUGCGAAAGCGUGGGGAGCAAACGGGAUUAGAUACCCUGGUAGUC
rnacentral:rRNA from 1 species